rnacentral:rRNA from 1 species
CCCUUAGAUGUUCUGGGCCGCACGCGCGCUACACUGUUCGACGCAGCGAGUCUUAACCUUGACCGAAAGGUUUGGGUAAUCUUCAGCAAAGUCGAACGUGAUGGGGAUCGACCAUUGCAAUUAUUGAUCGUGAACGAGGAAUUCCUAGUAAGUGCAAGUCAUCAGCUUGCGCUGAUUACGUCCCUGCCCUUUGUACACACCGCCCGUCGCUACUACCGAUUGAAUGGUUUAGUGAGAUCUCUGGAUUGACGCUGGCUAGGGGGCGACCCUUGGCCAGGCUGUCGAGAAACUGCUCAAACUUGAUCAUUUAGAGGAAGUAAAAGUCGUAACA